rnacentral:misc_RNA from 1 species
UUGACUCCAGCAUUGAUUCCUAAUGCUGUUGAGUAAACUAAAAGGAUCUUUCUGUUUAUUUUUUUAUUAAAAUAUGAUUGGAAAUGACAAUCUUGUGGUGGAAGUUUCAUGUGCAAUUUUCAAUUUUAUUCUUGUGAUUUUAUUUUCAUGUAUUUGCGUGUGUGUAUUUGUGUGAAAGUAUAAGUGUAAAUGGUCUGAUUUUUGACUUCGUGAGGCAAUGAAUAUUGUUAUACAGUACUGUCAACUUAUUUUGUGUUUUGUGAUAUGUGCAAUUAAUUGUAUUGGUGAUAUGCAUGGCCGAGUCCUUGCUACUGAGAAUAAAUGUAGAAUUGUAUGACUCCGAGUUAAAGUUAUAUACUGUGGUAUAAGUUCUUGUCUCAACCAUCUAACUAGUAUUUAAAAGACAUGUGAUGAAAUGAAUUAAAGCAAUCCAUGAAAAUUGGCCCCCACAAAUUUUAAUGAUUCCACAGUACAUGUAUAGACAUUUACAAGAUUCAACAGCUUUAUGAUAUAAUGAUCAACACUAUUUCGUUCUAUUGAAAUAAUUCCAGAAAUGUUCACAUACGUUAUGUAUGUACAAAGUUGAUACAAAUUAGUGCUAGAAAGGAACACCAUUUUGCAUACUAGUAUGUAGAGAAUUUUAGGUACAUUUUCAAUUGCAUGAGAAACAGUUCAUGUUAUAUGGGUUUAAUACCUUCAAUCAAUCGUGUGCUUGAUUUGAAACUUUUACUCAUUGCAUCUCCAUGUGUGUACAGUUUUAUGAAGUUAUAUUGGACAUGUUAGGAUUUGCAUGCCUGUUCCUCGAGGAAUAUUGAGAGGUGUAUGGGACAAAAAAAAAAGAAGAAAAAGAAAUCCAUUUAUAUUAUGCUGAGUUCUGUAUUCAUUGUUAUUUUAUUCUGUGAUACUUUUGCAUACUUUGCUAUGAAUAUUGUACCAUUGAAUUGAAUCGUCUUUUUUUCACAAAAAG